UACGUAGGGUGCAAGCGUUAAUCGGAAUUACUGGGCGUAAAGCGUGCGCAGGCGGCUUUGCAAGACAGAUGUGAAAUCCCCGGGCUUAACCUGGGAACUGCAUUUAUGACUGCAUGGCUGGAGUGCGGCAGAGGGGGAUGGAAUUCCGCGUGUAGCAGUGAAAUGCGUAGAUAUCUGGAGGAACACCGGUGGCGAAGGCGGCAUCCUGGACCGAUAUUGACGCUGAUGCGCGAAAGCCAGGGGAGCAAACGGG
rnacentral:rRNA from 1 species